rnacentral:rRNA from 1 species
AUACGGAGGAUGCGAGCGUUAUCCGGAUUUAUUGGGUUUAAAGGGUGCGUAGGCUGUUUGGUAAGUCAGGGGUGAAAUGCCGUCGCUCAACGACGGAGCUGCCCUUGAUACUGCCGAGCUGGAGUACGGAUGCCGUUGGAGGAAUGAGUGGUGUAGCGGUGAAAUGCAUAGAUAUCACUAAGAACACCGAUUGCGAAGGCAUCUGACGAAUCCGUCACUGACGCGGAGGCACGAAAGCGUGGGGAAAGAACAGGAUUAGAUCCCCUGGUAUUCCACGCCGUAAACGAUGAUGACUAACCGCCUGCGAUAUAGUGUAGGUGGCCAAGCGAAAGCGAUAAGUCAUCCACCUGGGGAGUACGACCGCAAGGUUGAAACUCAAAUGAAUUGGCGGGG